rnacentral:lncRNA from 1 species
AAAGGACCAGUUUGGGGGCGUUUGGAAGUACCUUCUAAUUUUCCAAGUGUUUGAGCCACAUUUGUUCAUAUCCUACAGCUGAAUCUCUACUGUCUACAGCUCCUAUCUCUGGACUUCUA